rnacentral:ncRNA from 1 species
UAACAAGCGUUGAAGAGGAGGAGUACAGUUAUUCUUCUUAAAGAGACCUCUUGGCUGGUGUGAAAGAGGAGAGUGAAGACUGGAAGGUAGCCUUGGAGCAUAUUUGGUGAAUGAAGUAGUCAGAUACGUAAUACUGCGUUAAAGUAAAGAGACAUACAGAGUAUGUGAAAUAAGGUGGUACCACGAUGCAGUCGUCCUUAUG